AGUGAACGCUGGCGGUAGGCCUAACACAUGCAAGUCGAACGGCAGCACAGUAAGAGCUUGCUCUUACGGGUGGCGAGUGGCGGACGGGUGAGGAAUACAUCGGAAUCUACUUUUUCGUGGGGGAUAACGUAGGGAAACUUACGCUAAUACCGCAUACGACCUACGGGGGAAAGCAGGGGAUCUUCGGACCUUGCGCGAUUGAAUGAGCCGAUGUCGGAUUAGCUAGUUGGCGGGGUAAAGGCCCACCAAGGCGACGAUCCGUAGCUGGUCUGAGAGGAUGAUCACCCACACUGGAACUGAGACACGGUCCAGACUCCUACGGGAGGCAGCAGUGUGGAAUAUUGGACAAUGGGCGCAAGCCUGAUCCAGCCAUACCGCGUGGGUGAAGAAGGCCUUCGGGUUGUAAAGCCCUUUUGUUGGGAAAGAAAAGCAGCAGGUUAAUACCCCGCUGUUCUGACGGUACCCAAAGAAUAAGCACCGGCUAACUUCGUG
rnacentral:rRNA from 1 species